rnacentral:lncRNA from 1 species
GGCACACAAAGUCUAUUCUCUCUAAACAAGUACCCGUCUAGUCUAUAGAAUUUACCAAAUGUUGUCUUCUCACAUGCUCCAUACACACUAGCAAAAUCAUCAUCAUUAGCAUACAAUUCCUUAACAUAUUCAAAUCCUAAUAACUUUGCAUUUAAAGUAGAGACAAGAGCAUACCUUCUUGAUAAUGCAUCAACCACAAUAUUUUCC